rnacentral:rRNA from 1 species
UACCAGCACCCCGAGUGGUCGGGACGAUUAUUGGGCCUAAAGCAUCCGUAGCCGGUUCUACAAGUCUUCCGUUAAAUCCACCUGCUUAACAGAUGGGCUGCGGAGGAUACUAUAGAGCUAGGAGGCGGGAGAGGCAAGCGGUACUUAGUGGGUAGGGGUAAAAAUCCGUUGAUCCAUUGAAGACCACCAGUGGCGAAGGCGGCUUGCCAGAACGCACUCGACGGUGAGGGAUGAAAGCUGGGGGAGCAAACCGG